rnacentral:rRNA from 1 species
GACGAACGCUGGCGGCGUGCUUAACACAUGCAAGUCGAACGGAAAGGCCCUGCUUUUGUGGGGUGCUCGAGUGGCGAACGGGUGAGUAACACGUGGGUAACCUGCCCUUGACUUUGGGAUCACUUCAGGAAACUGGGGCUAAUACCGGAUAGGAGCUCCUGCUGCAUGGUGGGGGUUGGAAAGUUUCGGCGGUUGGGGAUGGACUCGCGGCUUAUCAGCUUGUUGGUGGGGUAGUGGCUUACCAAGGCUUUGACGGGUAGCCGGCCUGAGAGGGUGACCGGCCACAUUGGGACUGAGAUACGGCCCAGACUCCUACGGGAGGCAGCAGUGGGGAAUAUUGCACAAUGGGCGGAAGCCUGAUGCAGCAACGCCGCGUGCGGGAUGACGGCCUUCGGGUUGUAAACCGCUUUCGCCUGUGACGAAGCGUGAGUGACGGUAAUGGGUAAAGAAGCACCGGCUAACUACGUG